UAUUUAAGUUCAUUGUGUUGGCCAUGCCAAUGUGGUUCAUUUUGGUUUGCCUGUUUUUAGUUAAGCCCAUGUCACUGUUUGCUGUGUUUGGUUUUUCCUUUAUUAAAACAUGGAUUAUUGGGACGACAUCGACUCUGCGCCUGUGUCCUUCCACCACCACAACUUCGAAAACAGAUUUUCUUAAAGUAAGCUGAGAUCACUGAUGCUCCACCAGCACUCCUCACUCGCAAUACACUGCUAGCAAGUACACGUUCGCGCCGGGUUUGGGGACGAGACUGAACCAUUUCAUGUGGAGGGGGGUGUGCAAAGCACAGUACGGAGACUCUGGAUGUUUACUUUUUGUGAAAAGUAAGAAAAUAGGAAAGGUUUACAAGUUAAUAAUUGAAUGUUGAAUUUUAUUUUACCUAAUGUUCUAAUAAUUCUUUACGGCCCCUGUCAGUCACAGGCCCUUAUCUUCCUAACAUCCCCCCCAAUACGGUACCCCUGUCUGUAAGCAUUGCAAUGUAAUGCUUCAGUGAGACAGUUGCUUUGUCUAAACUGGCCUUGGGAUUCUGGACUCUCAUUGCUGUGUGCUGUGAACGUUGACAAGUUGGGUGUGAUUUGCAAAAACUUGACGCGGAGUCAACUAAAUCAACAUUUCUAUCAUCACAGAAGGGUGUGGUGAUCAGUUAAUUGAGUCCAGUCAGCUCAACAUGCCACCCGGGAGAACUGCUGCAUUCUUGAUCAUGUAACCCUGAUUACGGUUCAGAACAUCAACCUCUGCUCAACUCUCGUGCCUUCCACCUCAGCUGGGUCCCUGCAUGUCCCUGCAAGCUGUUUCCCUUACACGGUUACCCAGGAGUCCCAAACAACAGGGGGAGGUGGGGUUGCUUAAAGGAUUCAUGGAUAUCCUCACUGUGAUUAAAAUAGAUUUACUGUAAGCCCCUAAAGAUGUUUUAUUAAAAACUCUGCGCUUACCAAGCCACUGUGCCCAGGUCCUUCGCACAAUAGUCACUGAACUAUAGAAAUACAAAAUAUAGAUGUCAGAGACAGGGAACUGAGGUGUUAGUGUCCCGAGCACCAAAUGAUUUAACUUGAUAGCCACGCAUUUGCACACAUGCUUACACAUAUCAUAAACACUUUGUGACCAUCUGCAUAGUAAUUUUGACACAAACCAAACCUGGUUAAAGUGAAUUUGACCAGGCUUGAUAAGGUUUCCUGCUUGCCUCUUGUUUAAACGGGGUUCUCCAACAUGGUUAUAAGUGCUAUUGCAUACAUCAAGUGGAUUUUACUGUCCAGCAAUGCAAUGCAACUGUUCAAUAUUUUCUCUUACUCUGUUUAACACAUAAAAUAAAUUAAUUUAGACUGACAUCAGCUGAGAGAACCAAUUGUUUGUGCCAACAGACCCACUGACGACACCAGCCCUAACUCAUGCAAGGAAACGCACACAUUCUGAAUACUGUAUGUCAAUCCAGAAAUCACAUAAUAGUCGAAAGAACUGCCAUCUGGAAGCCAUGUCCCGUCAGUCUGUGGGAACAGCCGAGACUCCCAAAUAUCAGAGUCUGCAACGAUAUACACGGUGGUUCGGGGUGGUGGGGGGCUGGUGUUUUUGGGCAGGGCCAUCAAAGGUUUGUCAACUGGCAAAGCCACUUACAAGAUGGGCCUGGCCUACCCUCACAACAAAAUACAUCGUGGUCUCUGUCAAACCAGGCUCCUCCGACAGCAGAGUGUUGGGAAAUGUGUGCUGUUGAUAGUGUCACACCUGAAUUUUCUGAACAUGUCUGACAGGCAAAUAUUGUGUUUCUGUGAAGAGGUCACGACUCUUGAAAUACUUGGGAGAUUACAUCAACUACAAUGGAUACAUGGUUGUACUAAACACUUUAGGUCUCCCUCUGACCCAAAGAUUUACAAAUGAUUACAUGGACAGAGGGAAAUGUGCCCCCCUCCACCCUGCACCCUCUUGAGCCUCAGCGAGAUUGAGAUUAAGGCCUGAUUGUCGGAUGGUGGCACUGCAGUUUUCACAGAGCUUUUCGUCUGGUGAUGUAGUCAUAAUCCCGACAAAUCCUUUAUUUUCCUCAGAACAGAGUGGUUGGAUUUGUGUCUAGAACACACCCCCUAAUUGAGGCAUACAGACUUGGUGAUAGGGUAGAAGGAAGAAAUAAAGAAACUUCGGUCAGAUUGCGUCUGUCAGUUAAGGACUGCGCAGAUUGUCGUCACUAAGAAUCAAUUGACACUUAAUCCAUGCGAAAGUAAUCAAAGCGGAAUGAUGCACACGAGGCGAGAAUGACGCUUUUUCCAUUCGUUCUUGCUUAGCAUCUAAGGUCUCGCAAGAAACUGGAUCACCGUCUAAGGAUGGAGAUCUGAGGUUGGGGGGAAUCAUAUGGGGGCGAGAGCGGUUCUGACACAAAUACCUUCGGUGAAACAGAAGAGUGUAUGUGUGACCGAGGGCUUUAGCGUCCCUGUCGCAGACUGUGGAAGGUAGCAUUGGCUUGGCUUAGCGAUGGCUUGGAGUACUGGCUUGGGGAAGUGGUCCUGAGGGCUCUGAGGGCCAUAGAGAGGCUCGGAAGAUUCUUUAAUAUCCAUUCAGACCUGAAGUGGACAGGUUGGGUUGAUUUUGAUGCUUGCAACGGAACACAUUUCAUAGGACAUGUUGUGAUGGUGUCCUCGUGUGAGAAAUAACACAGAGCAACAUCGAUCUGCAUGGGGACUCCAGCAACUGUAUAGAAUGACAAGACUCAUUAGCCCUGACUUUAGUAUAUCAAAUGAAAGGUCUGGCACGUCACAAAGUCAAGUGCCGAGUAACCUUGAAGGCUGCACUGAACACACUGUUCAGAUUGCUAGUCGGUCUGUUGCAAAGGGACUUCAGCUUACUCAAGGAAAAAAACAACGUUAUAUAGGAAUUCUCUUCAGCUCAGAUUGUAUUUUGUUAUCUUUUCAGUGAUAUGAUAUGAUUGAAGUAUAAAAGUCAGUUUAUCAAAUCACUCAAUAUCAAUGUUGAACAUAGUUGUUAAAAAACAAUGUCUAUUGUGAAAAUGUUAGGUAAGCACAACGGGAUCUUAUGACUACAGUUUAUGACAAUGAGGAAUUUUUUAUGUUGCGAUAAGAAACUGCCAAACUCUUAUGUAAAUGGCUUGUUCAUUUUAAAAUGGGAAUUGAUUGACGGAAAAUGCUGUCGUCAUCAUAUCUCCACCUAUGCUUCGUCAAGCAGUCAAUGUGCCUCAUUAAACUUAUGUAAGACUUCUGUCACCAUAAAGUACUUCCCUGAACUCUCUGAGGAACCUAAGGAGAAAAAAACUGACAGAAAGAGAGGGAUUACAUGCAACAUGAAAUACGUGCAUCAUCCAUUUUGGGCCAUUCAAGUAAUAGCUUUCCAUUUAAACAUUGAAGAUACAAUUAACCACAGCCAGUAAGUUGACUCUCCCAUCCGACAACACCCUCCUAAUGUUCUCAUAUGUUUAUCACCAUCUCAGAUUUGGAAAGUGCUCUUGACUUUCUGCCUACCUUUGGUUGUUUUUCAAGUUCAACAGGGAUCUCCUCCCCAGGCAGAAUUCCAUCUGGUACAGUUGGCCAGGGAUUGCCCUCCGGUGGCCACUGCUGAUAGGACUCAUGGAAAGAGGGCACAUCCACAAGGUCACCAACUAAAGCAGGAGGAGCCACGCAGGCGUCUUAAUAUGCCAAGUGUUCCAAAAAGGAUUUGACCGAUGUUGAAAUAAUGUUGAAGACAUUACAACCAAUAACACUGAUAAGUGUUGUAUUUGUUUACAAGUAUUUGAUUUAGAUCUAUGACAAUUUUUUUUCAGACUGAUUGGUUACAGUGUUUUUAUUUGAAGGUUUUAUAACGUUUUCUUGAGCAAAGAUUUGGUUUUACAAAGCAACAUUUUGUGACUACCGAAGGUUUAUCGCGUAUUGGGCAAAAUGGAGUACAAUACAAAUAACCCAGAGCCCAUGCUCGGCAACCUGAAAGAUUUGUAAUUCAGCUGACCUUACACAAACGCUGUUCUGAGGCAUGAAUAGACAGGGUUAGUGCUUUCCCGUAGCUGGUUUAUUAGUGACUUGUUUUGUAAAGGAUAAUUUUGUCACGUGCAAGUUUUGUGACUUCUGCUUUGCGGUGUCUCCUCUGAUUGAAUGGCUGAAUAUACAAACAGUUGAUGUUCUGAAAAGACACAACUGGUACUGAUUUCCUCCUGUCCUAUUCCUGACAUUUGUAAUGUCUCCUGUUACUGUCAAAUCUCAUUGUACUGAUAAAAAACACUGUGUCCAAUUAUCCAUCAGAGGCGUUCCAAGACAUGAAUGUAGGGAAUUUAAUUUAAUUUGCAAUGCUAAUGUUCAUUGAGGCAUCUAUUUUUUUUUUUGUCAGAAAAGACAUAUAAGGUUGAAAAUUGGUCAUGCUCUGUUGAGUGGAGUAUCAUGUUAAUUCCUUGUGUGCAAAAAUGAAAAAGAGCUUUUGUUAUAAAUAAAAAAACACGUGCUCCACAAAUUUUUUCAGGAGAAAAGCAAAACUGACCUCAAAACCCGACACAAUGCAGCUCUUUCUAUUAAGGCCUUCACUAACUUCCUCUCUCACAAUUGUCUUUUUUGUCCAUUUUACCUUCCAAGAACAUAUUUUAACACAUUUACAGGUUAUUUAUCUUUUGAAAAACAGCUGAGAAUCCCAUUGAUCGUUAUUCUCUUAGUGUUGUUUUGAAUGGACCACCAACCCCCCACCACUGACCUUUCAUUUAUCAUCCUCAGUGUGCCAGUCUCUAUUGUGCCUUCCUUGCUUCAUUGUAAUAAAAAACAAGUGAUACUCAGGUGAAAACACACACAAUGAGCAUAACAACACACGUAGCCUCACACAGAGACACACACUGUACACACACAUGCACACUGUCCUGGUACCAAGUUGCCUACUCCACCGUGGGAACUCUAUUGCCCAGAGCAUUGUGGUAACGAAGCCGUCAGGAGGGACUUCAGUAUAAAACAGGAAUUGUCCCUCGGAGUGCACCCUUAUUCAGAUGCUUGGCACGGAGCAGCCUUUUCCAUGUAACUUCACCCAGGUCAGUCGAAAGCCAGCCUGACUGGGAUUCUCCUAACACACCCCUCUGGGUUCCGCCCCUGACUCAAAAACACAAUAAAUCAGGACACCCAACUCCAGUCACACAAUGGCAAAAGAAUACAUUUGGCUUUACCGUGGUAAUUAAAACUCAUUUUCAAAGGCCACAACAGGGGCUUUAUGUAGCAGGACCGUUAACAGGGCCAACACAUGAAUGAAAGCCACGUGGUUGAUCUGGAAUGGCAGUCAGAGUGGCCCUGGUGACUGCCUGCCAUAAGGGUAGCGUAUGGAAUGGACCGUCCCAUGAUUCUGUUCUGUAUGUCCAGUAUAUUUUUGUUGUUUUAAUGCUCUUCCGUUUGACGUGAAUGGUUGAACAGAGACCCUUUUAAAGUCAAAGUCUUCCACGCUCGUUUAAGUUAAUUGGCAGUCCUCAGCACCUUUGUGACCUUCAUACAUUUAUGAAAGAUUGCUCUGUACCUUGGUGACUGCUGAGUCACAACCAGAUGUUGUAUUUUUGCUGGCUCUGGGCAUCACACAGCUGCUGUAAAUAUGUAACUACUAUGGAUCGUAAAUACAGUUGGAAUCUACCUGUUUGACACUCAACUUUUAUAAAUUUCUUUGAAGGAUUUCUGUGGGAGGAAGAAGAUUGGGAGUUAGGCAUAAACACUUUAUAGCUCCAAGUGCUUCUGUCGUCCAGUGACUAAAAUGUAGUGUAGUACAAAAUCUUAGUGCUGUGAAAGUUUUGAUGAUCUCUUCAGUGGCUAACUUUGAUCUCAGUCUUUCUGGUUCCAAGCUUUUUACCAUAUAAGGGGAAAUGUCUCUUACAGAGAUAAGGGGUGAAAUGUGUAAGGGUGAAAACUUGUAGCUAUGCUGUAACUCUACCUACAUAGAGCAAAGUACCUUAAGGCUGUUUUGCACUGGGAGAUGGUUUAAGUUGUUCAGAAAGUCAGAUGGAGCUGAAAGACCACAGGUAGCAGCAAGUAGCUGUAGUUGAAUUAGUAGUAAUGAUUUUAGGGGAAAUAGCACUGUGUUUGCUGUUAUACCAGAAGAAACAAUGAGUAUGAACAAGAAGUACUUCUGGAAAUAGAACAGUAAGCUGAUUAAAGUAAUUUGGUGCAGAGCUUUUUCUGUGAAGUGUCGUAUUGUUGCACAACACUGAACCUCCAUCCCCAUUGGGUCCCUUGAACCCUCACAUCACAGCUGAUUAGCAGCACAGGGGAACACAGGGGAAAUCAACACGUAUUCUAACAGAGGGACACUCAGUGCCUUCUAUCUGUAGGCCUAUGACCUGCCGCAGAGGGAGUGAGGCAUCGGAAAGAGGGGCAGUCACUAAAUGGCCAAUGCCAUCACGGGCGAAAAUCUCAAACCGAAUCCGACAAUGUGAAAUGUCAGCCGGAAGCCCAUUGUGUAGGCCCUAUGAUAAUUAAGGUUUCCAGCACUGUGUGCCGUGGAUCUGUUGCAUAACAGGGGCUUGUUUAUUCAUAGUGUGUUCUGUUUGUGUGCGAAAGCCCCCGUUGGAUUUCAAUGGCUUCAUUAUGGGGGCCCUUUUAAAGCCUCUUUCAAGCUUCAAACGUUGCUCCUGCCUCCCUCGCCUGGUCGGGCACCAACAUCGGCCAGCCGGUCCGGACGGUAAUUGUGAAAUUAAAUUACGCUCACUGUACUCUCGGGAGUGUGUUUUUCUGCAUGCGUGUGUUUGUGUGUUCAUGCGUUUAAGUGUUCAUGCACGUGUGGGAUUAAAGGGAGGGUGUCCGAAGCGGCAAUCUCCUGCAUCCUCCUCACCUCCUGAUGUGCAUUCUGGGAAACACCUGAGGUCUGUCGUGUUCCCGGGACGUCAUCGCUGCGGUCUUCAGUCCGGGGUGUGUUACUCACCCGGACCCUGUUACCAAGGCCGACGAUUCAGUCAGAACCAUCCUCCUGACCCACUCACGGAUCCCAGCGUGUCCAAUAUGUUCCGCACACAAGCUCACUCAUGUGGAAGUUAGCUAGUUAUAGCCACAGCACCACAUAGGACAGUGGGGCCACACAGCUGAGGUUUUGUUCUGGGCAUGGGGUUUGCUGUACCGUGUAAAGCUUCAUUAAGAGCCGCUUUCUGUCAGCCUUGUGGUGAUGGCGCAAGCUGCCCAGACGCUGAAUGCACCAGCUACAGGAACCGCUGUGAACCAGGCCAGAGGCUCAGUGGCUGGAGGAGAGGACCUCGCGUGACCGGAAGGUUGUAGGUUCAACGGGUAUUUAAACCUGUAAACUGUCUCUUACACUAAGCCAGUUGGAAUAAAACGAUAAGCUGCUGUGGCAGAUGUGUGAAACCUCGGUGAAUGACAUCUUCUGUGCUUUACACACAUGCUGUAAUUACUUUGGUUCGAUGUCGGCAUGCACCACUUUAUUAGGUGUGCAUUCUGGUUUGACGUGUUGCGUAAUGACUUGCUACAUAUUCUACAUUUGUAUGGAGUAUGACCAGAGUCCAACUCACACUGAAGGGAUUCAGGUGCAGCAGGGACACGGGACCUCCUCAGGCCACGGAAAUACAUAUUUCUGUAUGAAUUUUCUUUGUAUGUAUUUGUUAUACCAUUGUGGCUAGUGCAUGCUAGCAGCCACCUUUAUUCAGCUCUGCAAUUGUGAUGAGAUAAAUUCUAUCCAUAUUGAACUGGAGUUGACAUAAAAUAAACACUAUAUAUGUAUACCUAGAGUAAUUAGACUCUCUUAUAGUGGACUUGGUAUUAUUGACCUUUGGCACUGUUAGCUUUAUGGACCAUGAUAUGAUCACCAUAACUUUAAACAAAACCCGAAAAAUAAACAAUGUUUGUCUGUU